rnacentral:lncRNA from 1 species
GACGGCCCUGGUCCCAGCCCAGCCCCAGACAGAGGUCUCCUGGAACCUUCGGAAUCUCUGCCCUCCACAUUCCGCGCCGGGGUUCCGACUCUGUGAGUCACGCUGCCUGGCCCAGGUCCCGGCUGGCUCUUCACACCCAGCGGGCGUCUAUGGGCUCAGGCCCAGGUCUCCUGCAAGCUCUCCACCCUGCGGACCCAGCACACCGUGCAGGGCCCUGAGCUUGGGCCUUCCGUGGGAUGAACUCUCUCGGACCAGCUGCACAGGCCGGGAAGUUGAAGCUGCCUGCUGCCUUUCUCCCCAUGGCUGCUUCAGAGCCUCCCUGCCUCCUCCUCCCAGGGCCGGAAGCCAGCAGGACUUGCUGAUGUGCAAAACUGAGAGACAGUUAAGAAAAUAUAGAUCAGUAUAAGCAACUCAAUAACGUUCUCCGGAAGUGGCUGCGGGACAGGACUGUUGGUAUAGGGCACAAACACUGCCAGUCAUGCUGAUGCGAACAGUUAAGCGUUUGUGCUCAAGUCGCUUCUCAUAAAGCUAAAGUGUGUGUGCCCUACGCACUGUGCCCCUGGAGGCUUCUCCUGAAGAAAUGAAAACUUACAUUCUUGCAGCACAUCCAUGCUGUUCACAAUGGUGAGAGAUUGGAAACAAACUAAAUACGCCCAACAGGUGACAGGAGGAGAAAGGGGAGAGCAUCCAAGCCACAGAGCAGGAAAAGGAGCAAGCUCCUGGUGCACACACCUGGUACAUGGGGAGAGGUGGUGCUGAGUGCAGAAGCUGACUCCACAGGCAGAGGACUAGUGCACGAACAGCCUUGGGGGACCAGCCACAGAUAGAGGGCACAGAGCUGCCGGUCAGCGGUCAUGGGACAGUGAGGUGGCCUGAGGCUGGAACUGCGCUGGAGGUAACUGGUGUGGCCCUCGUGGGAGUGGACAGGUACAGCGGAAUCACACAGAACUGAGUACCCACGGGGACCUGGUGACGGCAGACAAGGGGAGUGAAUUUUGUUGAUUUUAAUUUAUUAUUGAAAUGUUACAUUUUUAGAUAAACUUUGUUCAUAUAUAAAAUGUAAUAUUUACAUUAUUAUAUAGAUAUGCUAAUACAAACAGACUUU